UUUGCUUCAAUCUUUUGUGGUGUAAUGGUAAUUAUGUUCCAAGAAUAGAUUUUUAGCUAGUAGUUCCUUUUCUAAUACUAAUCUUUUCUUAGUUUUCCACAUGUGACCUUUGUUUUCCAGGUUCUAGCUGCCGAUACUUUAGUUUCUGAUUGGCUACGAUGAGUCGCCGAAACACUGAUGCCGAAAUUGAUAACAUCUGACUGACGACGCUGGUUUCAAUAAGUCCAACAUAGAAGUAAGUGUUCCUUCUCGAGUUACGUAGCAAUGGGGCAAUCAUGGAGUUGCAGACUAGUACGACAUCGUCGAUGGAAGUGAAUGAAGAAGAGAAGGAGGAGAGGAGGAAUUAUUAUUUGAAUACGUGAUACAUCUGAAAAUCUGAAUUAUUAUUUGACGGCGGAGGAUUACUAUGUGAUACAUCUGAAAUAUGUGUGAUACAUUUGGUUGUAUUUCGAUAAUCUUUAUAUGAUUCAUAUUAAAUGUUUAUGAAAGUUCUGUCAUUCAUAUUAAUAUUGUUUGCAUUAGUUUAAAGAGGU
rnacentral:lncRNA from 1 species